rnacentral:rRNA from 1 species
ACACAGGCGCAGGGUGGAUGCCUCGGUCGUCCAGGCCGAUGACGGACGUGGUCACCCGACGAUAUGCCCGGGGAAGCCGGUGACAGGCUGUGAUCCCGGGAUCUCCUAAUGGGGCAACCCGCCGCCCUUGAUCGGGCGGCACCCCCCACUGCGGGGGGAGGGCACCGGGGGAACUGAAACAUCUUAGUACCCCGAGGAAGCGGACGGGCCCGUAGUAGUGGCGAACGAACCGGGCGGAGCCUAAACCGUGGACGUGCGCAAGCGAGCAGGCCUUGCGUCCACGGGGUUGUGAGGCCGCCACGAGAGGCUGCUCCCUCUCAGCGGACGCGGACGCGGGCAGGCGAAGCUGUUUGGAACACAGCGCCAGAGCGGGUGAGAGCCCCGUAGCCGACGCCCGCGCCGCGCCGCGGCGUCACCUCGAGUACGCCGGGACACGUGACAUCCCGGCGGAAGCUGGGGGGACCACUCCCCCAAGGCGAGGUACCUGGACGAACCGAUAGCGCAGAGUACCGUGAGGGAACGGUGAAAAGCACCCCGGCGAGGGGAGUGAAAGAGAACCUGAAACCGUGCGCCGACAUGCCGUGGGAGGCGGGCGACCGCUGACCGCGUGCCUUUUGGAGUAUGAACCGGCGAGUAGCGGCGCGUGGCAGGCUAAGGCAGUCAUAGCCGGAGCCUCAGCGAAAGCGAGUGCGAAAUGCGCGUACUGUCGCGCGCCGCUGACCCGAAACCACGUGAGCUACCCAUGGCCAGGCUGAAGCGCCCCUAACCGGGCGUGGAGGGCCGCACCAGUGUCUGUUGCAAAAGGCUUGGAUGAGCUGUGGGUAGGGGUGAAAUGCCAAUCGAACGUGGAGAUAGCUGGUUCUCCCCGAAAUGCAUUGAGGUGCAGCCGACGGCGCAGCGACUGCGGGGGUAGAGCGCUGGUGGGACGCGGGGGGCGCGAGCCUUACCAACUUCCGCCAAACUGCGAAUACCGCAGCCGAAGCCGUCGCGUGAGACGCCGGGUGCCAACAUCCGACGUCGAGAGGGAAACAACCCAGACCACCAGCUAAGGUCCCCCAGUGAUGGCUCAGUGGGCAAGGCGGUGGGCCGGCGCAGACAACCAGGAGGUUGGCUUAGAAGCAGCCAUCCUUGAAAGAGUGCGUAAUAGCUCACUGGUCGAGUUGGCCUGCACCGACAAUCCAGCGGGGCUCAAGCCAUCCACCGAAGCUGUGGGUCCAUCCCGCUGGGAUGGGCGGUAGGGGAGCGUCGGCUCGCCAGCGAAGCGGCGGCGGAAGCCAGCCGUGGAGGCGGGUCGAGUGCGAAUGCCGGUAUGAGUAACGUCAAGGGGGGUGAGAACCCCCCCCACCGAACGCCUGAGGGUUCCGCCGCACGGGCACUCCGCGGCGGGGUAGGCGGGCCUAAGCCGAGGGCGCGAGCCGUAGGCGAUGGACAACCGGUUGAUAGUCCGGUCCCACGCAGUCACCGCUAGAACCGGAGCGGGUACGCUGGGCGGCAGGCGCCGCGUCGAGACGAGCGGCGUCCAAGCUGGUAGGGAGGUCGGCGAGGCAAAUCCCGUCGACCGCUGACCGAGAGGCGAGUGCGAGGGGGCUGCGCAAGCAGCCGCCAAGGGCGCUGGGCCUGAACAGCCACGAAACGCCGCGCCGGGAGGGGGCUGCGUGCCCGUACCGCACACCGACACAGGUAGGCAGGUUGAGGAAACCAAGGUGGACGAGUGAUCCCCCGUUAAGGAACUCGGCAAGAAUGACCCCGUACCUUCGGAAGAAGGGGUGCUGCGUACGCGUGAAAGCGCUCGCCGCUGGAGCGCGGGGCAGCCGCAGGGGCCAGGCCCAGGCGACUGUUUAACACAAACACAGGUCGCUGCGAACGCGCAAGCGCGGACGUAUAGCGGCUGACGCCUGCCCAGUGCUGGAAGGUUAAGGGGAGCGGUAGUGCGCCGCGAACCGAAGCCCCAGUGAACGGCGGCCGUAACUAUAACGGUCCUAAGGUAGCGAAAUUCCUUGUCGGGUAAGUUCCGACCCGCACGAAAGGCGUCACGAUCUGGGCGCUGUCUCAACGGGGGGCUCGGUGAAAUUGCAGAGGCCGUGAAGAUGCGGCCACCCCACGACAGGACAAAAAGACCCCGUGGAGCUUUACUCCAACUUGUCAUCGUCAACGGCCUCGGGCUGCGUAGGAUAGGUGGGAGCCGAUGAAGCGCCCCUCGCGGGGGGCGUGGAGGCGAGGGUGAAAUACCACUCUGCGCGAGGGUGUUGACUCACCCGCCGCAGCAACGGCGGGGACGGUGGCUGGUGGGGAGUUUGACUGGGGCGGUCGCCUCCUAAAAGGUAACGGAGGCGCCCAAGGGUCCCCUCAGGCCGGAUGGCAACCGGCCGUGGAGCGCAACGGUAGAAGGGGGCUUGACAGCAAGACGGACAGGUCGCGCUGGGACGAAAGUCGGGCGUAGUGGUCCUAUGGUACCGGGUGGAAGGGCCAUAGCAUAACGGAUAAAAGCUACCCCGGGGAUAACAGGCUGAUCCUGCCCAAGCGUUCACAGCGACGGCAGGGUUUGGCACCUCGAUGUCGGCUCGUCGCAUCCUGGGGCUGAAGGCGGUCCCAAGGGUUGGGCUGUUCGCCCAUUAAAGCGGCACGCGAGCUGGGUUCAGAACGUCGUGAGACAGUUCGGUCUCUAUCCGUCGUGGGCGGAGGAGGGUUGCGCGGGGCUGGGCCUAGUACGAGAGGACCGGCCUGGACAGACCGCUGGUGGACCAGUUGUGGGGCGACCCGCAGGGCUGGGUAGCUACGUCUGGAGGGGAGAACCGCUGAAAGCAUCUAAGUGGGAAACCCGCCGCAAGAUGAGCCCUCCAGGCAGCGCAGGCUGCGAGAGGCACCCGGGAGAUGACCGGGAGGACUGGCCGGCCGUGGAGGCCUCGCGAGGGGUAGAGCGGACC